rnacentral:rRNA from 1 species
ACGAACGCUGGCGGCGCGCUUAACACAUGCAAGUCGCGCGAUGAAAUUUCGACAGAUCCCUUCGGGGUGAAGUUGAAAUGGAUUAGCGGCGGACGGGUGAGUAACACGUGAGUAACCUGCCUUUGACAUUGGGAUAGCCUCGGGAAACUGUGAUUAAUACCAAAUGACACUAACUGAUCACAUGAUCACUUAGUCACAGAAAUUCGGUCAAAGAUGGACUCGCGGCUGAUUAGCUAGCUGGCAAGGUAACGGCCCACCAAGGCGACGAUCAGUAGCCGGGAAGGGAGAGGCGGCGGCCACUUUGGGACAGAGACACGGUCCGAAAUAAUACAGGAGGAAGCAAGGGGGCAUAUUGCCCGAUAGGGGAAACGUUGACGACCCACAGACGAGUGAGCAGAGAAGGUAUGCGGGUCGUAAAGCCCUUUUAUGGGCGGAGAUAAAGACGGUACCGCAAGAGAAAGCCCCGGCUAACUACGUG